AUAUCCUUCCAAACCUAAUUGUUUUCUUUUUCUUCCAGCAAAUCGCAUGCCUCCUUUGGUAUUUAUAUUGGGCCAACACUGAAUGCUAUGAAGCCAACUUCUUUUCUAAUUAUUCUAUGCUAUUCAGCACUCCAAAACGUGAUACAUCUUUUGCUUACUCAUGUGGCUACUAAUUGAAUAACAAACUCAUGUUUUCAAUCCUCUCUCUACUUAACACAAUAAAUAAUAAAAUGACAGUUUAUUUAAAAUGACUCUAAAUUAA
rnacentral:lncRNA from 1 species